GAUGAACGCUGGCGGCGUGCCUAAUACAUGCAAGUCGAGCGAACAGACGAGGAGCUUGCUCCUCUGACGUUAGCGGCGGACGGGUGAGUAACACGUGGAUAACCUACCUAUAAGACUGGGAUAACUUCGGGAAACCGGAGCUAAUACCGGAUAAUAUAUUGAACCGCAUGGUUCAAUAGUGAAAGGCGGUUUUGCUGUCACUUAUAGAUGGAUCCGCGCCGCAUUAGCUAGUUGGUAAGGUAACGGCUUACCAAGGCAACGAUGCGUAGCCGACCUGAGAGGGUGAUCGGCCACACUGGAACUGAGACACGGUCCAGACUCCUACGGGAGGCAGCAGUAGGGUAUCUUCCGCAAUGGGCGAAAGCCUGACGGAGCAACGCCGCGUGAGUGAUGAAGGUCUUCGGAUCGUAAAACUCUGUUAUUAGGGAAGAACAAAUGUGUAAGUAACUAUGCACGUCUUGACGGUACCUAAUCAGAAAGCCACGGCUAACUACGUG
rnacentral:rRNA from 1 species